rnacentral:rRNA from 1 species
AUUGAACGCUGGCGGCAGGCUUAACACAUGCAAGUCGAGCGGGGUGAUGGUGCUUGCACUAUCACUUAGCGGCGGACGGGUGAGUAAUGCUAGGAAUCUGCCUAUUAGUGGGGGACAACAUCUCGAGAGGGAUGCUAAUACCGCAUACGUCCUACGGGAGAAAGCAGGGGAUCACUUGUGACCUUGCGCUAAUAGAUGAGCCUAAGUCGGAUUAGCGAGUUGGUGGGGUAAGGGCCUACCAAGGCGACGAUCUGUAGCGGGUCUGAGAGGAUGAUCCGCCACACUGGGACUGAGACACGGCCCAGACUCCUACGGGAGGCAGCAGUGGUGAAUAUUGGACAAUGGGGGGAACCCUGAUCCAGCCAUGCCGCGUGUGUGAAGAAGGCCUUAUGGUUGUAAAGCACUUUAAGCGAGGAGGAGGCUCUUUUGGUUAAUACCCAGAAUGAGUGGACGUUACUCGCAGAAUAAGCACCGGCUAACUCUGUGCCAGCCGCCGCGGUAA